CUUUCCAACAUGGCUGCACCCACCAGAGAGGCCGGAGAGUUCCUGCUGUUCCGCGUCCUUACCAGUACUUGGAGACGACUUUCAAAAACACCUUCAUGAGCGAAAGAAGACCGGUGCGAAAGAGUCCAUGCCACACGGCUGCAUUUGCAUGACGUUCUGGAACAGAUUCUGCCUGUGGAGAGCAGAUCGUAGGAUUGUUAGAUUUGAAGAAAGAAUGAGUUGGAAGAAAUGAGUGGAUGGUGUUGCAGGCACGAUCACGUGUUCUCAGAUAGAAAUUCCGGGGCUGCCCCCCAAAGCCGAAAGGAAAAGAAACUACACAGAAGAAUCAUCUGGUGGGAAGGUUAGUGCUUGAACCCAGCACGAAAGAGAAACUCACAGCCUAACGUCUAAAACCCAAAGUCGGGGGAGAGCACAAGUGCAGUCCCCCCACCACAAAUUAUGCGGCUGAGCUUCCCACACGUGGGGACACCACAGGGGUCAGCACACCCGGAGUGCAAUGAACCUGCCUCGCCCAGGGAAAACCACCUUCGUGAUCAUGGUAUUGCCCCUGCUCGGUUUCAAGUGGAUCAGCUGCAAGGAAUCUGGUUGGAAGUGAAUGCUCACAGCCACCAGUUCCCGUCUUGAGAACAUUCUUGCACCUUGGGGAGAUUUUGCAAUAUUCAUAUGUGUGUUGAAAGCAAUUUUUCUGCUUCCUAGGUUGUUUCAUUUAAAAAAUUCAUUCUCAGUCAUCCAUGUCCACUUUACCUAUUUAGCUAUGUUUUCCAGAAUAUUUCUACUGUCAUAGUGAGGAAGACAAGAAACAGUGCCUAACAAACAAAGCAUCGCAGACUGAAAAUAGAUUAGGACAUGAAAUUGAAAACAAAAAAUACAAAGCCUGAGAGAGGACUGUAAGAAUGCAAAAAUAUUGCAGCACAAAUGUGCAAAAAUGAUUUCAUAAGGUUCCAAAAUUCUGUCACUAGCUUGCUAG